rnacentral:rRNA from 1 species
UACGAAGGUGGCAAGCGUUGUUCGGAUUUACUGGGCGUACAGGGAGCGUAGGCGGUUGGAUAAGCCCUCCGUGAAAUCUCCAGGCUUAACCUGGAAAGUGCAGAGGGGACUGUUCAGCUAGAGGAUGGGAGAGGAGCGCGGAAUUCCCGGUGUAGCGGUGAAAUGCGUAGAGAUGGGGGAGAACACUCGUGGCGAAGGCGGCCAGCUAGACCAGUUCUGACACUGAGGCGCGACAGCGUGGGGAGCAAACAGG